rnacentral:rRNA from 1 species
GGAGAGUUUGAUCCUGGCUCAGGACGAACGCUGGCGGCGUGCUUAACACAUGCAAGUCGAACGAUGAAGUGGAGCUUGCUCCACGGAUUAGUGGCGAACGGGUGAGGAACACGUGAGAAACCUGCCUCGGAUUUUGGGAUAACAAAUGGAAACGUUUGCUAAUACCAAAUAACGUCGGAGAGUCACAUGACUUUCUGACGAAAGGAAUUCCGAUUCGAGAGGGUCUCGCGGCCUAUCAGCUUGUUGGCGGGGUAAUGGCCCACCAAGGCAACGACGGGUAGCUGGUCUGAGAGGAUGGUCAGCCACACUGGGACUGAGACACGGCCCAGACUCCUACGGGAGGCAGCAGUGGGGAAUCUUGCGCAAUGGGCGAAAGCCUGACGCAGCAACGCCGCGUGCGGGAAGAAGGCUUUCGGGCUGUAAACCGCUUUCAGCAGGAACGAAAAUGACGGUACCUGCAGAAGAAGGAGCGGCCAACUAUGUGCCAGCAGCCGCGGUGAUACAUAGGCUUCAAGCGUUGUCCGGAUUUAUUGGGCGUAAAGAGUUCGUAGGCGGUCGAGUAAGUCGGGUGUGAAAAUUCUGGGCUCAACCCAGAGACGCCACCCGAUACUGCUUAACUUGAGUUCGAUAGGGGAGUGGGGAAUUCCUAGUGUAGCGGUGAAAUGCGCAGAUAUUAGGAGGAACACCGGUGGCGAAGGCGCCACUCUGGAUCGACACUGACGCUGAGGAACGAAAGCAUGGGUAGCAAACAGGAUUAGAUACCCUGGUAGUCCAUGCGGUAAACGGUGGGCACUAGGUGUGGGUUUCUAUUAACGAAAUCCGCGCCGUCGCUAACGCAUUAAGUGCCCCGCCUGGGGAGUACGGU